rnacentral:lncRNA from 1 species
AGCUCGCGGGGUGACUAUGCACAUUGGCUCGUGGGAAGGAAGGGUCGACUUCACAGUGGCACCCAUGGACGACUUCAAGAUGGUGCUAGGAAUGGAUUUCCUACAGAAGGUCAAGGCCGUGCCACUACCUUUCCUACGCUCAAUGGCCAUCCUAGAGGAGGAGAAGCCGUGCAUGGUCCCUACGGUCACUGAAGGUACGCUCAAGACCCCUAUGCUAUCUGCUAUGCAAGUAAAGAAGGGGUUAAAGAGGGAAGAGGUGACCUACCUCGCCACCUUAAAGGAAGAGAAGGAUGAUGGGUCGGGAGAACCCAUUCCUAAGGAAAUCGAGGGGGUCCUUGAUGAGUUCAAGGACGUGAUGCCGCCCGAGUUGCCUAAGAGACUUCCUCCUAGGAGAGAGGAAGAUCACAAGAUUGAGUUGGAGCCAGGAGCCAAGCCCCCUGCUAUGGGGCCAUAUAGGAUGGCACCACCUGAGUUGGAGGAGCUAAGGAGACAACUCAAGGAGUUGCUAGAUGCGGGGUUCAUCCAACCAUCCAAGGCUCCCUAUGGCGCGCCGGUUCUAUUUCAAAAGAAGCAUGAUGGGUCUUUACGAAUGUGCAUAGACUACCGGGCACUCAACAAGGUGACGGUGAAGAACAAGUAUCCCAUCCCGCUCAUUGCUGACUUGUUCGAUCAACUUGGAAGGGCCAGGUACUUCACGAAGCUGGACUUAAGGUCGGGCUACUACCAAGUCAGGAUUGCGGAGGGAGAUGAGCCGAAGACUACAUGUGUGACCAGGUAUGGCUCAUAUGAGUUCUUAGUGAUGCCUUUCGGACUCACCAAUGCCCCAGCAACGUUCUGCACCCUCAUGAACAAGAUCUUCCACCCAUACUUGGACAAGUUCGUGGUGGUGUACUUGGAUGACAUAGUCAUCUAUAGUAACACUCUAAAGGAGCACAAAGAGCACUUGAGGAAGGUCUUUAAGAUCUUAAGGCAGAACGAGCUAUACGUGAAAAAGGAGAAGUGUUCGUUUGCUAAGGAGGAAGUGAGCUUCCUUGGGCAUCGCAUCAGAGAUGGCAAGCUGAUGAUGGAUAAUAGCAAGGUGAAGGCCAUCCAAGAAUGGGAUCCACCAACCAAGGUACCUCAACUCAGGUCUUUCCUUGGUCUAGUUAAUUAUUACCGGCGGUUCAUAAAGGGUUACUCGGCAAGGGCUGCCCCACUCACUGAUCUUCUUAAGAAGAAUAAGGCAUGGGAAUGGGAUGGAAGGUGCCAACAAGCCUUUGAGGAUCUAAAGAAGGCUGUGACUGAGGAGCCAGUGUUGGUACUACCCGACCACACCAAGGUCUUUGAGGUACACACAGAUGCCUCAGACUUCGCUAUUGGGGGAGUCCUUAUGCAAGAGAGGCACCCAAUCGCAUUUGAGAGUCGCAAGCUAAACGACGCGGAGAGGCGUUACACGGUGCAAGAAAAAGAGAUGACUGCUAUCGUCCACUGCUUGCGCACCUGGAGGCACUAUCUACUAGGGUCUCAUUUCAUAGUGAAGACCGACAAUGUGGCCACUAGCUACUUCCAGACACAGAAGAAGCUGAGUCCUAAACAAGCUAGGUGGCAAGACUUCUUGGCCGAGUUCGACUAUACGCUGGAGUAUAAGCCAGGAAGUGCUAACCAUGUGGCCGACGCCCUAAGUCGCAAAGCCGAGCUAGCGUCCAUGACGAGUCAGCCCCAAGGAGAUAUAGUGAGUCUUCUAAGGGAGGGACUGCAACAUGAUCCAGUGGCUAAGAGCCUUAUCGCCCUGGCUCAUGAAGGAAAAACUAAGCGGUUUUGGGUGGAGGACGGCCUACUCUAUACAAAGGGGAGACGACUCUAUGUGCCUAAGUGGGGGAACAUAAGGAGGAACCUGAUUAAAGAGUGCCACGACACCAAGUGGGCGGGGCACCCUGGGCAACGACGCACUAGGGCACUACUCGAGUCGGCUUACUAUUGGCCUCAGAUACGGGACGAGGUUGAGGCCUAUGUGAGGACUUGUCUUGUGUGCCAACAAGACAAGGUGGAACAGCGACAACCUAGAGGCCUGUUAGAACCACUACCGGUAGCAGAACGCCCAUGGGACAGCGUCACCAUGGACUUCAUCAUCGGGUUACCUAAGUCAGAGGACAGCGGCUCUAUCAUAGUGGUGGUGGACAGGUUCUCUAAGUAUGCAACCUUCAUAGCAGCCCCGACUGACUGCACGGCGGAAGAGACGGCGAGGCUAUUCCUAAAGCACGUAGUCAAGUAUUGGGGGUUGCCUAAGUUCAUCAUCAGUGAUCGCGACCCACGCUUCACUGGGAAGUUUUGGACGGAGCUCUUCAAGCUUAUGGGUUCGGAGCUUCACUUCUCCACCAGCUUUCACCCACAGACAGAUGGGCAGACUGAAAGGGUGAACGCCUUGCUGGAGCUAUACUUGAGGCACUUUGUGAGUGCCAACCAGAGGGAUUGGGCUAAGUUGCUAGAUAUAGCCCAGUUCUCAUACAACUUACAAAAGAGUGAGGCGACCAACAAGAGCCCGUUCGAGUUAGCCACAGGGCAGCAACCCUUAACCCCUCACACGCUAACGAUAGGCUACACGGGGAGAAGUCCAGCGGCUUUCAAGUUCGCGAAGGGGUGGCAUGAGCAAGCUGACAUAGCCCGCUCAUACUUAGACAAGGCCGCUAAGAAAAUGAAGAAGUGGGCUGACAAGAAGCGACGACACAUAGAGUACAAGGUCGGAGACAUGGUGCUUGUCAAGCUCCUUCCUCAACAAUUCAAGUCUCUAAGGCCGGUGCAUAAGGGCCUUGUGAGGAGGUAUGAAGGACCCUUCCCCAUACUUGGGAAGGUUGGCAAGGUGUCCUAUAAAGUCGAGCUGCCCCCGAGGUUGAAGAUCCAUCCUGUCUUCCACGCAAGCUACUUGAAGCCCUAUCACGGAGACAAGGAUAAUCCAAGCCGAGGGUUGUCCAAGAGGGCACCUACAGCGGUCGUGACCUCCUAUGAUAAGGAGGUAGAACUCAUCCUCGCAGACCGGGUCAUCAGGAGACGAGGGGUACCUCCUGCUACGGAAUACUUAGUGAAAUGGAAAGGACUACCAGAAAGUGAGGCUAGCUGGGAGCCAGCAGAGGCACUAUGGCAGUUCCAGGAACAGAUCGAGCGGUUCCGGGCAGAAGGCGCGACGAGGACGUCUGCGGCAUAGGUGGGGGAGAGUGUCACAAGCUGACCCAAAUGAGCCUCCCCAUGGCCUUAUAUAGGGCCAGGAAGCUUCUGGAGACUCCUAGAAUGGGAAGAGUGUGGAAGGUUCUAGAGAAGUCUGGAGAAGUCCACACAAUUCUACACUAUGGUGGAAGGCACAAGAGGAGUCCGGGGCUUUCUAGAGAAGUCUAGAAGACUCUUGUAUAUACUUAUAUAGGCUUGUAACUAGAAUGAUGUAGGACAUUCUAGAAUAGUCUUGAGAUGUAAGGAA